GUGCUGCUCUGUGGUCACUGGUGGCACAGUAGGAGCUGAGAAGAUCACCUGGACAGAGGUGAGAUCCUUGGAAAACUGACUGCCCAGAGCUCUGGAGCUUUCAGCCUUCACGCUAACGCACGGGCCCAGCUGGCUGGAGAUUAAAGAGCACAGUUGAAAACCAAAAAGCAUUUGAAAUUGCACCACUGAGCUGGCAGGAAAUUCCAGCUUUUUGUAGAUGUCGGAGGCGUUGGAACGGCGAGGAACCAGAAGCAAGAGCAGAUCAAACCCUGCCAGCAUGAGCGGUGGAGAACAGAAUCUGCAUUGACGACAGAUGGAACGAAUGUUAUGGAUGCAUCCCAGGCCCUGAGCUGUUGUGCCACAUAAAUCAGAAGUAAAACUUUGCCAACUUAGAAUGCUUCACAGGACUAGACUAUCAGCCAGCUUA